GUUCCCUCUCAUCCGAACCCAGUUUAGCCCCAUAUGCACCAGCUGUUGCCCCAAACAACACCACCAAAGAGUCACUGUGCGAAGCCGUCAUGACCACAGGGGGAAACAACUGUUCCCGGUGAUCUCCUUCUACCCAGGGCCGAUUGGGAGGUGAAAUUAGCAAGCUGAGAGUUUCUUUUCCUCUGACAUCAUGGCAGAAUCCCAGCCUGAGCUUCUCUC
rnacentral:lncRNA from 1 species